rnacentral:tRNA from 1 species
GUUUAUAUAGCGCAGUGGUUAGCAUGUUCGCCUGUGAUGCCGAACGCCUGGGUUUUCAAUCCCAGCGUGAACA